UACGGGGGGAGCAAGCGUUGUUCGGAUUUACUGGGCGUAAAGGGCGCGUAGGCGGCGCAACAAGUCACUUGUGAAAUCUCCGGGCUUAACCCGGAGCGGUCAAGUGAUACUGUCGUGCUAGAGUGCAGAAGGGGCAACUGGAAUUCUCGGUGUAGCGGUGAAAUGCGUAGAUAUCAAGAGGAACACCUGAGGUGAAGACGGGUUGCUGGGGCUGACACUGACGCUGAGGCGCGAAAGCGUGGGGGAGCAAACAGG
rnacentral:rRNA from 1 species